AAGUCGUAACAAAGUCAAUGCAAAAGCGACCUGGUUUCUUUGAAGCAGAAAGUGCGAUGGCGUGAGCCAGAGAACGGACCGAGAGGUAGUUCGAAGGUGCCUUCUGUCGCGCACUGUGGAAAGGAAGACGCUUUACGAAUCACUGUCCAACACGGCCAGUGACCGGGUUCCUGGUCCUAGACCCCAUAUUCACCACCACAGUCGCAGACGAGGUAGGGAUACGUCCCUACCACCAAAUAAAUACUUGAACAACUGUUAACAAUGGAUAUCUUGGUUCUC
rnacentral:misc_RNA from 1 species